rnacentral:rRNA from 1 species
CGUGUAGGUGGAAAGGUCAGUCGGACGUGAAAUCCCUCGGCUCAACUGAGGAAUUGCGUUUGAUACUGCCUUUCUUGAGUGUGGGAGAGGAGAGUGGAACUCCUGGUGGAGCGGUGAAAUGCGUAGAUAUCAGGAGGAACGCCGGUGGCGAAAGCGGCUCUCUGGCCCACCACUGACACUGAGGCGCGAAAGCCAGGGGAGCGAACG